rnacentral:tRNA from 1 species
GCCCGGCUAGUUCAGUUGGUAGAGCACGAGACUCUUAAUAUCGAGGUCGUGGGUUUGAGCCCCACGUCGGGAG